UCAGCAGCCGUCGCCCUUCCGCACUAGAGCUCUGCUAGGGUUUGUCCUUGUCUCGAACCAGUUCGUCCCAAGAGCUCAACUAACGAUUUCUACUCCACUUCUUAGGUCCAUCACUCGAGCUGCUGUGCUCCAAGGUCUCGCGUCGAAGUUCUAUUAGCCGCUUUCCAGAUGGGCGAAGUUCUCGUGGUCAACAAGGGAAUGGUGAUUCCACCGCUUAGCCGUCUGGACUGGAUCUUACACUUCUCUUCUUGAUGUCUUCUUUAGGGCUAUGGCCCCUGUAUUCGUUGUCUUUGGAUUGUAAACUCUUAGUUAAACUGUUAUCAUGCUCUUGUUGGCAUCGUGGUGUGUCUGGUUUUGUAGGGGUGAUGUUGGGAACCCUAGGACUGCGUGAUUUUACUAUCUUAUGUGUGACGUUUCCUUUAAUUGUGUUUAUAAAUUAAAUGGGACGUUACAUUGUUCACAUUAA